CUGUGCUGUUAAGCAUUAGUGAUGAAGAAUAUUAAAGAAACAAAGCAGCUGAUAAAAUUAAAAAUCAGUAGAAUUAUUUUUCAAAAAGUGUUUGCAGAAUCAAGCAUUUUGAAUUAGUAAUGGAAGGACUGUACGGCAAAGCUCAAAUCUGUCUGCCAGAGUUGUCAUUAACAAGGAAGAAUAUGUGCUCGGCCUAGGUUUGAUAUGGAGCUAACUGUAAUUGACUUGUAUACUAUGGAGGUUUUGCUCGAAAACAGUGCACAAAAUGCCAUUCUGCCUCCCCUAUGUGUUCCUUUGACAUCACUUUUUUUUUUAAUCAAAUAAUAACUAGCUCAUUGAAUUUUUCAAAGCUUGUAUGUCACUUGCAGCUGUGAAUUAACUGUUGACGGGUUUUCAGCUCUUGGCAGCACUCAAAAGUGAAGCUUUUCCAGCUGAACACAGGAAUUGUCUUUCCUAUUAAUCUAUUGUGGAGAAUUGUGUUAUGAAUCGCUUUGUACUGCAGAAACACUAAAUCUGUGUCGGUCUUCUGACUGCUUGAAAGGCUGACAUUUCUCCAAUUCUGGUAUUGAAGUAGCCACACAUUUGGACUUAAGCAUGUUGUAAUACAAAAGAUAACUUCAUUGGGAAACCUAAUUUAUUUUGCUCUUUAUAAUGGAGGAGUCAUUAUAAAAUUAUCUGUUUCUGUUAUGUUGGAAUGUUUUCUAAAUAGUGAGAAAGUUGUGCAGUGAAACCUGGCAGCUUGUUGAGAUCAAUAAGACCAUCCAGUUUAGAAUUUUCAGACAUACGCAAAGAAUGGAGAAUUUAGUACAAGAAAGUUACAUUCUGUUUGUUGGCUGUAAAUAUAGUUCCCUUAACUUUAGAUUGAGAGAAAUUGUGUUUUCUGUUAUUGGGAUACAGACAUUUGGGUGAUAUGUCUCCAGAAUGAGUAGUUCUGUGCUUCCAAACAAAUGUUUUGAAUCAAAGGAAAUUCAAAUGUGCAAAGUUAUGAAAAUAUCUAUUAUUAAUCUUUUAUUUCCUGAUUUAAUGAUGUUGUAUUCCUUUUUUUGUGAGCUAUUACUAUUUAAUAGGUUGCGGGUGUUAUUGCAGAAGUGCCUAGCAAUGCUAAGGAGAUUGCUUAUGGGUUGUGAUGUAUGUUUAUGGGAACAAGAAUUUGAAAUAACAAUGAGUAAUGAUGCUUUUAUUAAGCAACCAUGGCUUAUGUCUGAUAUACGCACCUGGCUCCUGACGCUUGCAGCAAACACAGAUAUGUGCAGUUCACUGGUUAUCGACUCAAGUUAAUACAGCCAUGAAACUGCUGUUACAAUUUCAUUUCCUGUUUGUGGUAGGUGAACUUGAAAACCAGCAGCAUGUGUAUGUAUCGCAUCUGUAAAGAUUGAUUUAUUGUUUGCUUUGAAUCAAAACAGUUUUUAUCAACAAUCUAAAUUCAGACUAGUUGGGAUUUAGGAAAAUGUCAAUUCUUAUUUCAUGCAUCAUUUAUAUUUUUGGCUGUGCCCUUUCCAGAAUGCUUAAAAAAAAAACUUUUGAGAGACCAUCAUUUGAAGAGUUGUCUUCUCAUAUAUUAUAACAAGAAGAAAAAAAUCUAGUGGCCAAAAUAACGUGUGUUUUUUUUUUAAAAAAAAAAAACUCCAAAGAGUUUUUCCUUCCCUAAAUGCACAUACUCAACUAAUCAUCCCUGUUUGGGGGAAUCGGCCUCUCCACAACUUUAGACAUCCAUUUUUCCCCUUGAAAAAAACCCUGAAGCAAAAGACCAUACAAAAAUAAAAGAACUGGAGGAUAUGUGUGGGCAGGCUGAAAAAGGAAUCUCCUCAAGUGAUUCAUAAGCUGCAUUUUUUUUUUUUUGCAUCCCUGCCCUGUUCUCUCAAAUACACUAAAUUAGGGGUUUGAUAGUAUAUAAAAACAAAUAAAUGAAUGUAGCAGCUGUGCAGCCCCAAUUGUAUGUGCAUUGAUUCCAUUCAACCCACACUGAAUGUGUAUAAUGUUUCAUCUUAGAACACUCCUACAAAUCUUAGAAAAUUGUUUUUAAAUAGAUGAAGGCCCAGUAUGAAUUGUUCUGACUGUCUCUGUUCAGCUGCCAAGCUGCUUAGCUAAUCCCUUUGCAGGAACAAGGUCUUCAUCACAGUAACCCUAUGGAGAAAUAUAUUUUCUAUCUUUUUUCCCCUAUUCACUACAAUGUAUCUUGAUAGUUGUGCAAACAAAUGUGCACGCCAAAUUUCAGUAAAACCCGACUAAAAUGCAGCUCUCUUUCAUUUUCCACAAUCUCGCAAAAGGAUCUACAAUAUCAGGGGUUUUCAAUUCAGUUUAUGUCCGGGAUUUGAGGGGUCUGUAAAUAUUUUCUUAG